GCAGUGGUGGCUCAGUGGUAGAACUCUUGCCUUCCGUGUGGGAGAUCCGGGUUCGAUUCCCGGACAAUGUA
rnacentral:tRNA from 1 species